UAGGAAUCUUGUAGAGAUACGAGAGUGCCUUCGGGAACCUACACACAGGUGCUGCACGGCUGUCGUCAGCUCGUGUCGUGAGAUGUUGGGUUAAGUCCCGCAACGAGCGCAACCCUUGCCCUUAGUUACCAUCAUUUAGUUGGGGACUCUAAGGGGACUGCCGGUGAUAAACCGGAGGAAGGUGGGGACGACGUCAAGUCAUCAUGGCCCUUAUGACCGGGGCUACACACGUACUACAAUGGUCGGUACAGACGGUCGCAAGCUCGCGAGAGUAAGCUAAUCCGAGAAAACCGAUCGUAGUCCGGAUCGCAGUCUGCAACUCGACUGCGUGAAGUCGGAAUCGCUAGUAAUCGCAAAUCAGAAUGUUGCGGUGAAUACGUUCCCGGGCCUU
rnacentral:rRNA from 1 species